rnacentral:rRNA from 1 species
AGUGAACGCUGGCGGUAGGCCUAACACAUGCAAGUCGAACGGCAGCACAGUAAGAGCUUGCUCUUACGGGUGGCGAGUGGCGGACGGGUGAGGAAUACAUCGGAAUCUACUUUUUCGUGGGGGAUAACGUAGGGAAACUUACGCUAAUACCGCAUACGGCCUACGGGUGAAAGCAGGGGAUCUUCGGACCUUGCGCGAUUGAAUGAGCCGAUGUCGGAUUAGCUAGUUGGCGGGGUAAAGGCCCACCAAGGCGACGAUCCGUAGCUGGUCUGAGAGGAUGAUCAGCCACACUGGAACUGAGACACGGUCCAGACUCCUACGGGAGGCAGCAGCGGGGAAUAUUGGACAAUGGGCGCAAGCCUGAUCCAGCCAUACCGCGUGGGUGAAGAAGGCCUUCGGGUUGUAAAGCCCUUUUGUUGGGAAAGAAAAGCAGCAGGUUAAUACCCCGCUGUUCUGACGGUACCCAAAGAAUAAGCACCGGCUAACUUCGUG